ensembl:snoRNA LOC120093436 small nucleolar RNA SNORA17
CCUGCCCCUAGAGGCUUUGCAGGUGUGACUGCUGUGUCACAUGUGCAUCCAUAGGUGGCAGAGAGGAGAAAGACUAUGUUUAUACUCAGUGUUAUGACCUAAAAACAUCUGAAUGAUUAGAAGCCUAACAUU